UACAGAGGGGGCAAGCGUUAUUCGGAAUUACUGGGCGUAAAGUGUGCGCAGGCGGCCGCACAAGUCGAGUGUGAAAUCCCCGAGCUUAACUUGGGAAUUGCGCUCGAAACUACGUGGCUGGAGUGUGGCAGAGGAAGGUGGAAUUCCACGUGUAGCGGUGAAAUGCGUAGAGAUGUGGAGGAACACCGAUGGCGAAGGCAGCCUUCUGGGCCAACACUGACGCUCAUGCACGAAAGCGUGGGGAGCAAACAGG
rnacentral:rRNA from 1 species